AGGCUUACACAUGCAGUCGAGGGGCAGCAUAGAAGUAGCAAUACUUUGGUGGCGACCGGCGCACGGGUGAGUAACGCGUAUGCAACCUACCUAUCAGAGGGGAAUAACCCGGCGAAAGUCGGACUAAUACCGCAUAAAACAGGGGCACCGCAUGGUGAUAUUUGUUAAAGAAAUUCGCUGAUAGAUGGGCAUGCGUUCCAUUAGGUAGUUGGUGAGGUAACGGCUCACCAAGCCGACGAUGGAUAGGGGAACUGAGAGGUUGGUCCCCCACACUGGUACUGAGACACGGACCAGACUCCUACGGGAGGCAGCAGUGAGGAAUAUUGGUCAAUGGGCGAGAGCCUGAACCAGCCAAGUCGCGUGAAGGAAGAAGGAUCUAUGGUUCGUAAACUUCUUUUGCAGGGGAAUAAAGUGCAGGACGUGUCCUGUUUUGUAUGUACCCUGAGAAUAAGGAUCGGCUAACUCCGUGCCAGCAGCCGCGGUAAUACGGAGGAUCCGAGCGUUAUCCGGAUUUAUUGGGUUUAAAGGGUGCGUAGGUGGUUUGAUAAGUCAGCGGUGAAAGUUUGCAGCUUAACUGUAAAAAUGCCGUUGAAACUGUCGGACUUGAGUGUAAAUGAGGUAGGCGGAAUGCGUGGUGUAGCGGUGAAAUGCAUAGAUAUCACGCAGAACUCCGAUUGCGAAGGCAGCUUACUAAGCUACAACUGACACUGAAGCACGAAAGCGUGGGGAUCAAACAGGAUUAGAUACCCUGGUAGUCCACGCAGUAAACGAUGAUUACUAGCUGUUUGCGAUACACAGUAAGCGGCACAGCGAAAGCGUUAAGUAAUCCACCUGGGGAGUACGCCGGCAACGGUGAAACUCAAAGGAAUUGACGG
rnacentral:rRNA from 1 species